GGAGGUAUAGCUCAGUGGUAGAGUGCAUUCUUAUCAUGCAUAAGGUCUUGGGUUCAGUCCCCAGUACUUCCA
rnacentral:tRNA from 1 species